GGUGUGUUGUUGCAAGGUAAAAGUCAUUUUCAAAGUAAAGUGCUUUUAGGGUCUUGAAAAGUGCUAUAUAAAUGCAAUCCAUUAUUAUUAUUAAAAGACACCUUGGGAAAGUUAAAUUUGCUUCGUUGUACUCUGGACUCUGAAAGUGGGAUCAGGCUAUAAAGAGCCAGCGAUGAAGAGAUUUGAUCUUAUUUAAGCAAAGAGGGCAGGUGCUGGUCCACAAUGCCCAACACAAAUAUCGGCAAAACAAACGAAACAAAACUGUGGUUAAAUGGUUCACAAACUUCACCCAUUUGUUGCACCACAGAAACUGAUGCACAUUAGUGCGUAAGAUGUUAAAAGUCACAGAUUUAGCUGGAAAACAUGAGAUUUGCAGAAAUAAUUACUUUCUUUCUUCCUCACACCAUCCAGCUCACCCUCUGCUCUGACACAAAAACGGCACAUACAACGUGAGACAACAGAUCGGACAGCAUCGUCACACACAGAACAAGGUUUUUUUUAGCUUCUGUAUGUAACUUGACCUGGAGAGCUCUGCGCAAAUGGCAAAUAAAAAUCUUGAAUCUCUGAUCUUGUUAAUUUAACUAUAGAACAUUUUGAUACUCCAAAGUUUGUUUCAGUAGGUUUGUGCUUUGCCAGUUUCAAAUUGUGUAACAUAAACUAUCUCAUACAUACUUAUGAGUUCAGGCUUUUAGGCCUUUCUGGGAUUUGAAGUGUGGCUGAUGAUCGCGUUUUAGUAAAUCUGUCAAUAAAACUAAUAAUAACGGUUUCAUUCUUCUUUCAAAGAUGGUUCCUGAUAGAGAAGAGAAUCACAGGAAGCAAACUUUACACAAACACACUGUGAUACCGCUCUGACUGCAGCUUUGUCAGCACUUACCCUCAGUUGUAGUUUGGAUUUCAGCUUCUCCUCCGACAUCUCAAAGCCAAAUCAGAAAUGUCCUCAGUUUUCUGCUCUUUUCAACUUCGUUCUGCUUCAGAAAAACUGGUUCUUUGACACUUGAGAGUUUUGAUCAUUUGCCAAGUUAACUUUGCCACUCCUACAGAAAACCUGCACAAAGAGGAAUUUCAAUCUGGAAAAUAGCCAAGUCGCCUCAUUUGAUGAACCUCAACCUGCGUCACUGAAAACAGAUGUUUGCCAUCAGAGAAAAUGAAUGCGACUGAACCUGUGGAUAAAUGAAUACAACAAAUAUCAAGAGAGAGAGAGAAAAAAGCAGGUGCUGGGCCUGGAGGACAGGGGGAUCUGGACCAGACCACAGCUGAAGACCGCACUUGGGCGCAACUUCUGUCAGCAAAGAACAGGAAACUGUUCACAUGAGAUCAACAAAAGUGGAAAACAGAAGAUUGAAAAAUGUUGCCUGGUCUGAUGGAAUUUGUCUUAAACAUAACAUGAAAACAUGGAUCCAUCCUGCCUUGUAUCAGGAAAUCUGAGCAAAUGACACCACAACUUUAAAAAAUACUUGCAGCUCGCACAUUAACGUGAAGA